GAACACAUGGCUCAGUUGGUAGAGCAUUUGUUUUGCAAGCAUAGGGGUCUGAGUUCA
rnacentral:tRNA from 1 species